CUCCUUUUAGCUCAGUAGUUAGAGCACUUGCCUGGGGAGCAGGAGUUUAGGCCUCCCUCACCCAAAAGAAGU
rfam:Alligator mississippiensis ScZkoYb_125, whole genome shotgun sequence.